AGCAUUCAACAGAGCCUGGUUCAGCAGCCUCUACGGACAUCAUGGCAGAGGCAAAGAGACCCAAGAGGACUUUGACGGAGGAAGCUAGGAGGAGAAAAAGAGAGAGUGACCGAGCAAGA